CACAUAUAUUUGAAGUCUAACACAGAGGUAAAUGUUAUUAAAUAUAAAACGGCAAAAUCCAUAGAGGUUUUAUGUUUGGGAAUAAAUGUUCUCUGAAGGUUACAUACGUCUAUAACAACAGUACUGAAAAUGAGUAGAGGAACUGCAAAGUGAAACCAAAUGGAAUGUAAAGAGUAUCCCCUAGAAACAGCAGAAUGUAAUUUAAAUGUGAAUUUUACUUUUAUUUCUCAGUUUUAAUAAAAAAUGGAUUAUAAGGAAUACAGGUGGGUAUUUUUGCAGUAUAACGUUGUGUCAUUUUUAAAAGUUGUCUGCCUUAAACAUUUAUUUUUAUGUAAGCAAGGGCUUUUUUCCUCUAGCAAAUAUAAGUAAUCUGCUUCAGAAGCUGUAUUUCAAGAAAAGCUAUGGUAGAAUGCAGCAAUUCAUCUGAUAUGAGCAGUUUCUGGAAAGCAGAACUACAAGUUUUUUAUGUGACCUUGCUGAUAUGAAAUACUUCCAUUCUGAUGGGACCAUUGCCAAGUGAUGGAUGAGGAAGGUCUUCACAGUCACUCAAAGUUUUAAAGUUUUUUAUAGGUACCUAGGUCUAAUCAGUUCUAGUGGGAGUCAAGUACCUAAGUAUCUUCAAAAACCUGGGCUUCAGUCCUUCUAUCUACUAGAGAUAUUAAGUGCUCCAUGAAGAGGUGGUGUAUAUUUGUUUUGGGAAACCUGUCCUUAGAAAGCUGGAAUGAGAGAUUCAGUUCGUUUUUGUUACCUGCUGAAUGGCUGCAAAAUGAUGACAUGCCAAUGUCGCUAACAACCCACAGAAAACCUGUCGGAGAAUAAAAAAGCAGCUGCCCCCACCCCCCCCAACCCCCUAAAAAAAAAAAUUAAAAAAUGGGGUAAAGAAAUAGUAGAAUAACAACAGAUAAAAAUUUGGGUUUAAACACUCUCAGAUGCUGCGUGCAGGCUACAUGAACUAGCAGCAGCACAAUGGAAUGUGCCAGAGCAGGGGGAGGGAAGGGAGGCACGAUUCUUCUAAGAAUAAUCAAGUACAAAUUGCAGCGCUUAGGAAAUAAGAAAUUAUGAUGGCAGAUGUGAAGAAUCCUCCCUGAGGAGCUUCCUGUAAUAAAUGAAGCUUUUGUAAAGAAGUUUGAAUGGGCACGGUCAGGCAUUUUAUAGGGGGUAAACUGUUCCUAGUGAACCUACUUGUGUUUGCGAGAAAACAUUAGGACUGGAGACUUCUAGAAAUAUUCUCCAGUAUGAUUAAUAAUAUAUGACUCCACAGCUCUACAUGAGGAUUUCAAAUUACCUUAAAAAACACUCUGUGUUUUAUAAUUCAAGGCUCAUGCCCACCUUACACAUAGCUGAACUGAAGCUGCAAAGGCAUUAAGGCACUGCCUGGCAGGACCAAGAAUCUCCCAUUGGCCUUAGGAAACCCACAGUGCCCAAAGCAGACAAGACACAUUUUUGUUACCCCCCUGUUUAGUCCUAUCUUCUAUGACUGCUCUUAAGUGAUACGUCAAAGGAGAGGAGAAGCAGAUGGACCCUGGCACCCCAAUGUGCACUCUUAAGCUCUACUUUUUCUUCCCAAGUAAGGGGAAAAUCUGUGCUUAUCAACACAAACUAAUUCAAAGUAAUGUUUUUUCCCCCCUUUGUUUGCAAACAAAACUAAGCACAGCAAGUACACCACAGAUGCAUCAUUUAGUGCUGAAAAGCUCCUUUAAGCAGGGAAUCAAUCGCUGCACAUGGGAGAGCAUGUGAAUCACACCAUUAGGCAAGCCUGCGAGGAUGCUAGCCACAGACAUUAAGCAAGAAGUUCACCACAUGAAUCUGUAGGAAAUUGGAAGGCAACAUGUCUCACUUAAAAGGAAAAAAAGAAAAGAAAAAGAGAGACAUCACAGCAUCGCUAAGCCUUCUGCCCAAUGACAGUCAUCCAGUGUCAACUCUGGACACGUAAAAAGCAUCCAAGGCAAGAGGGGGUGGGAAGAAAAGAAAAAAAGAGACAAAUACUGCAAUAAAAAUAAGAUAGCUAGCAAUUGGAUGAAUAGCUUAUGCUAAACAAAAA